rnacentral:rRNA from 1 species
CGCAUCUGUGCAUGCAGCAUAUCAAUAAGCGGAGGAAAAGAAACUAACAAGGAUUCCCCUAGUAACGGCGAGUGAAGCGGGAAGAGCUCAAAUUUGAAAUCUUAAAGGGUUUCCCUUUACGAAUUGUAGUUUAAAGAAGUGUUUUCUGUUGAGGUUUUGGUAAAAGUUCUUUGGAAUAGGACAUCAUAGAGGGUGAGAAUCCCGUAUUUGACCUUUACUUUCAACUUUGUGAUGACACUUUCAAAGAGUCCGAUUGUUUAGGGAAUGCAGUCCAAAAUGGGUGGUAAAUUUCAUCUAAAGCUAAAUAUUGGCGAGAGACCGAUAGCGAACAAGUACCGUGAGGGAAAGAUGAAAAGAACUUUGAAAAGAGAGUUAAACAGUACGUGAAAUUGUCAAAAGGGAAGCGUUUGACACCAGUGUUGUUUUUCUGAAAAUCAAUUAAAGAACUGUUUAUGCUAAGUUGUUUAGACUUUAUCAGCUAUCUGCUUAGUUUUGAGCUUUUCUUUAAUGCACUUUUCAGUUAACAAGUCAACAUCAAUUUCUUUUGCUGUAAAAAAGCUUGAGGAAGGUGGCUUGAGAUUCGUCUUAAGUGUUUAUAGCCUCUUGCCUAUGCAGUCGGAGAGAUUGAGGUCUGCAGCGUAGAUCCUUCGGGGCUAAAUGCAUUUGUGCUAAGUUAUAGCAUUUUAUAGACAACUUGUUGACUAUGAUUUGUCUUGUAGCUUACUCGCUUAUGUUAUUUUACCUACGCUUAGGAUGUUGAGCGCAUGUCUCUCUCU